rnacentral:rRNA from 1 species
UACGUAGGUGGCAAGCGUUGUCCGGAUUUACUGGGCGUAAAGAGCGCGCAGGCGGUCGUUCAAGUCGAGUGUGAAAGCCCCCGGCUCAACUGGGGAGGGUCACUCGAUACUGAUCGACUCGAAGGCAGAAGAGGGAAGCGGAAUUCCCGGUGUAGUGGUGAAAUGCGUAGAUAUUGGGAAGAACACCGGAGGCGAAGGCGGCUUGCUGGACCUGGUCUGACGCUGAGGCGCGAAAGCGUGGGGAGCGAACAGG